UGAAUACCAGACGCUACGGCGUUGAAGCAGUGUAUGUCAGACUUCCAAGAAAAGCUCGCAAUGUCCGAAGUAAAAUAAUGCCUGUACCAUAACCGACACAGGUGGGUAGGUAGAGUAUACUAAGGGGCGCGAGAUAACUCUCUCUAAGGAACUCGGCAAAAUAACUCCGUAACUUCGGGAGAAGGAGUGCCUUAUUUUAAGGUUGCAAUAACAAGAUCCAAGCAACUGUUUACCAAAAACACAGGUCUCCGCUAAGUCGUAAGACGAUGUAUGGGGGCUGACGCCUGCCCAGUGCCAGAAGGUUAAAGAAGUUGGUUAGCUAUUGCGAAGCUGAUGACUGAAGCCCUGGUGAACGGCGGCCGUAACAAUAACGGUCCUAAGGUAGCGAAAUUCCUUGUCGGGUAAGUUCCGACCCGCACGAAAGGCGUAAUGAUUUGGAUACUGUCUCGGAGAGGGGCUCGGUGAAAUAGACUUGUCUGUGAAGAUGCGGACUACCUGCACCUGGACAGAAAGACCCUAUGAAGCUUUACUGUAACUUGAAAUUGGAAUUGGACUUUAUUUGCGCAGUAUAGGUGGGAGGCGUUUGAAGAUAUUCUUGCGGGAAUGUUGGAGCCAUUAGUGAGAUACCACUCUUGUAAUGUUAGAUUUCUAACUUUGUACCAUAAUCUGGUCAAAGAACAGUUUCAGGCGGGCAGUUUGACUGGGGCGGUCGCCUCCCAAAUGGUAACGGAGGCGUACAAAGGUUUCCUCUGAACGUGUAGAAAUCGUAUCUAGAGUGUAAAGGCAUAAGGAAGCUUGACUGUGAGACCUACAAGUCAAGCAGGGACGAAAGUCGGUCUUAGUGAUCUGACGGUACUGAGUGGAAAGGCCGUCACUCAACGGAUAAAAGUUACUCUAGGGAUAACAGGCUGAUCUCCCCCGAGAGUUCACAUCGACGGGGAGGUUUGGCACCUCGAUGUCGGCUCAUCGCAUCCUGGGGCGGUAGUACGUCCCAAGGGUUGGGCUGUUCGCCCAUGAAAGCGGUACGCGAGCUGGGUUCAGAACGUCGUGAGACAGUUCGGUCCAUAUCCGGUGUAGGCGUUAGAAUAUUGAGAGGAGCCUUCUUUAGUACGAGAGGACCGAGAAGGACAUACCUCUGGUGUACCAGUUAUCGUGCCAACGGUAAACGCUGGGUAGCUAUGUAUGGAGAGGAUAACCGCUGAAAGCAUCUAAGUGGGAAGCCCACCUCGAGAUGAGUAUUC
rnacentral:rRNA from 1 species